rnacentral:rRNA from 1 species
GAUCAACGCUGGCGGCGUGCCUAACGCAUGCAAGUCGAGCGGGCGCACCUUUCGGGGGUGCGUCAGCGGCGGACGGGUGAGGAACGCGUGACUAACCUGCCCUGGAGUGGGGGACAACCCCGGGAAACCGGAGCUGAUACCGCAUAUGUUCGGUCGCUCGUCGGGCGAUUGAGCAAAGCCGCAAGGCGCUUUAGGUAGGGGGUUGGCGUCCGAUUAGCUUGUUGGCGGGGUAACGGCCCACCAAGGCGACGAUCGGUAGCUGGUCUGAGAGGAUGAUCAGCCACAGGGGAACUGAGACACGGUCCCCACACCUACGGGUGGCAGCAGCGAGGGAUUUUCGGUCAAUGGCGCAAGCCUGACCGAGCAACGCCGCGUGCGGGACGACGCCUCGGU